rnacentral:rRNA from 1 species
GACGAACGCUGGCGGCGUGCUUAACACAUGCAAGUCGAACGGAAAGGCCCUGCUUUUGUGGGGUGCUCGAGUGGCGAACGGGUGAGUAACACGUGAGUAACCUGCCCUUGACUUUGGGAUAACUUCAGGAAACUGGGGCUAAUACCGGAUAGGAGCUCCUGCUGCAUGGUGGGGGUUGGAAAGUUUCGGCGGUUGGGGAUGGACUCGCGGCUUAUCAGCUUGUUGGUGGGGUAGUGGCUUACCAAGGCUUUGACGGGUAGCCGGCCUGAGAGGGUGACCGGCCAGAUUGGGACUGGAAUACGGCCCAGACUCCUACGGGAGGCAGCAGUGGGGAAUAUUGCACAAUGGGAGGAAGCCUGAUGCAGCAACGCCGCGUGCGGGAUGACGGCCUUCGGGUUGUAAACCGCUUUCGCCUGUGACGAAGCGUGAGUGACGGUAAUGGGUAAAGAAGCACCGGCUAACUACGUG